AAAAAACUCCUUGUGUCUUUUUUAAUGUUAGAAUGACCAGAGCAGAUGGCCACCCCUCUGAGUCUGGUCUGCUUCAGGUUUCUUCCUGUAAU